rnacentral:lncRNA from 1 species
CCUCGUACUCACAACGGUAGAGGAUGCAGUCAUUAGGGCAUGCAUGUAUCUUCUGCACCUCCAAUCCUAGAGGAUAGAGAACCUUCUUUGCUUCGUACGUACUGUCAGACAAUUCGUUAUCCUUUGAAAGCUUCGUCUUCAUUAUUUUCAGUAGCUUCCCAAAUCCCUUGUCAGAUAGACCAUUCUCUGCCUUCCAUUGCAGCAAUUCCAGGGCCGUACUGAGCUUUGUGUUGUCAUCUUCGCAAUUUGGGUACAACCCUUUUUUGUGAUCCUCUAACU